rnacentral:snRNA from 1 species
AGACUUACCUGGCAGGGGAGAGACCAGGUUCACCUAGGUGCUUCUCCCAGGGUGAGGCUUUCCCAUCGCACCCCAGAUGGGCCGAUCCCUAUGAUUUUCUCAAUGUGGGAAACCCAACUGCAGUGUUUGGCCAGUGGUAGAGUGCUGUGCUGAUGCUCU